CAAGGACAAUCGCUGCAGAGGAAUCUGUCAGGGAAUUACUUCAGAUGGAGUUUGGAAACUUAAGACAUUCCCAUCUCAGAUUGGAGACUUCAGGGCUCAGUUUCACCGCACCCAUGGCAUCUGUUGAGAAUGGAAGGAACUUACAAAGUCUCUGCCAAUCUCCACAUUUGAGAUGAAGAUAUAUCCCCCAAUCCUUAAGGACUUGAGUUACACAAGAUGGGACGCCCAGGUGAUGCUCUACUCAUAAACUAUUUCCACAAGGCAUGAUAGGAUAAGAACACAGGCUUCAAACUUAUGCUGUGCUGAACUACUUGUGGCUGUACCAUGUGCCUCUGGUGAAUCCAGGAGCAUCUGCUAAGUGCCUGUCAAGAAGAAGGUCCCAGAUGCAUCACCAAGGACCAGGACUUGGGUCAUCGGUACACUCACGACAGUCUUGGCAGCACACACAAGGAAACUUAACAUGCCUUAGAACCUGACCCCCCAAGAGGAUGAGGCUUGAAGCUGAACGUAAUACUGACAGAGCAAAGCAGAACUCCACACAGCUGUCUUUUCUGGCCAGUCUACGAACUCUGACUGAGCAGGUCCUGUGCUGUUGUGAGCACAGGAAACCCAUGAAGACAAGCUGUCUUCCCUGAGGAACUCAAAGUCAUUUAUUGUUCAACUGACACAGAACACAUUUACCCUUUCAAUAAAGCACAGAAUGUUGAUUCUAAACUCUCAUAAAAGAACUGGUCACCACUUCCUCUUGCCUAGAGUUCUAAGAUGUCUUACUCAAUGAAGAAAACCACUGAUGGCUACCAGAGGCUUCUCCAGUGAGAAUUCUCUUGAAGAGGAGUGCUGGUUAUCUCAGAAAAAGACGUGAUAUAAAUAAACAUAAAACAAAAUUGAGGUGCUGGGAUACAACUAUAAAUUGCUCUGCUUGACUCUCUUCCCAUCAUCCAAUGAAGAGGAAGCUUUGUAAGGCUUACACAUGAAUACACUGAUCCAUAUCCAGAUGAGCCGGGGCCUCCAUCCUUUUGUGUCGAGCACAAAGAAGAAGGCGAAUGCAGCAGAGACAGAGACAAAGGAACGGCCCAUGUAACCAAGCGCUGAACAUGAUUUAAACAGCCAACUUAGUAAACAUCAAUUCUCAGGAUGUGUUCUGUGAAUUGGAGUCAACCUCCAAAGGAAAUGCAGGCUUACACUGAAAGGAUUGCUUCUGCUAAAGACAAAGCCAAGCUGCAUCUCCAUGCGGUAAGUCAUCUCCCUGAAAGAUGCUGACAAGACAAAAGCCUCAGAGUGAAAAGGUGAAACUGGCUCAUUUGAAAAAGGAAAAAAGGAACCGCAUUAGAGCUUCUUUGUUUAACACCCUGGUACCCAUGUUUUGUAUUGUCAGAGGUCAGUGUGGCUUUGAGAAGAGAGAGGGUUUAGAAAUGGAGAGAAUGUGCGGCUUGCUGUGUGACUUUCUAUGAAAAACUUUACAUCUCUGGACAUCAGUUUCCAUCCUGGUCAUGUAAGAGGGUUGGAGCAAACGCUGUGUUUUCCACAUUGCUGUGACCAAGCUCCCUCUUCAGAUUCAUGCAUGAGUGAGAGACUUAA